CCUACGGGAGGCAGCAGUGGGGAAUUUUGGACAAUGGGCGAAAGCCUGAUCCAGCAAUGCCGCGUGCAGGAAGAAGGCCUUCGGGUUGUAAACUGCUUUUGUACGGAACGAAACGGUCUGCUUUAAUACAGUGGGCUAAUGACGGUACCGUAAGAAUAAGCACCGGCUAACUACGUGCCAGCAGCCGCGGUAAUACGUAGGGUGCGAGCGUUAAUCGGAAUUACUGGGCGUAAAGCGUGCGCAGGCGGUUAUAUAAGACAGUUGUGAAAUCCCCGGGCUCAACCUGGGAAUUGCAUCUGUGACUGUAUAGCUAGAGUACGGUAGAGGGGGAUGGAAUUCCGCGUGUAGCAGUGAAAUGCGUAGAUAUGCGGAGGAACACCGAUGGCGAAGGCAAUCCCCUGGACCUGUACUGACGCUCAUGCACGAAAGCGUGGGGAGCAAACAGGAUUAGAUACCCUGGUAGUCCACGCCCUAAACGAUGUCAACUGGUUGUUGGGUGCAUUAGUACUCAGUAACGAAGCUAACGCGUGAAGUUGACCGCCUGGGGAGUAACGGCCGCAAGGUUGAAACUUAAAUUGAAUUGACGGCUGGAGAGNGCGAGACGACGACGAGGAGGAGG
rnacentral:rRNA from 1 species